GCCUGGAGUGGGCGGGGCCUGGGGGCCGGGCCGGGGCGCCCGAUGGGGGCGUGCACUCUCCGCGGGGACACGCGCUCUGGGCCGCGGCAACUCGCUCCAAGUUCCCUCCCUCGCGCUCCGCGAAGCCCGCCCGAGCCCGCCCGAGCCCUCCCCUCCCCUCCUCUCCCCUCGGCGCGGACCUAGCCCUCCGCGGCCUCGCGCCCCGCGCCCCCGGCCCGCCGGCUCGGCUCCCCCCGGCCCCGCGGGGCGGCGCGAGGACUCGGCGGCGGCCCCCUCCCCGCGGGCCCGGGAGCCGACGCCGGCUGGGGCCGCACCUCCGGGACCGGGCAGCGCGGCCGAGCUCUGCCUGCAGCCGAACACAAAGACCUGGAGGAGACUCCCACAUCCUUCGGGGAGAAGAAAGGAGGCAGCGGCGCCGGUUCAGGGAGCUCGUGGCUCGUGGCCUUCGGGAGGGGGGGAGUGGAUCGCGGCGUUGGCGGCGGCGUUGGCGGCGGCGGGCGAGCCGUGAGAUGCGGCGGCGCCGCGGCGGCGCCUGCUGACACCCCGGUCCCCGGCGCCGGCCGCUGCCCUUUGUGCUUCGCGUACAUGUGUCAGCUCGGCGCAUCCGGAGGCGCGCGCACCGGAAUCCAACACGGCCG
rnacentral:lncRNA from 1 species